GGGCUACGCGAGCACACAGAGAGGGACAUUUCCUGAAUUCGGCGAUGGCGGCCAGACAGUUUAACGAGUAGGUGCGUACCCGUCCGCCUUUAAAUAAGUCACAUGGUCUAGCCGUUUCUGGGAAGGCCUUGCUUCAGCACCCCGGUUUGCUGCAUGCUCCUCUGUCCACACGUCGCGAGCGAGUUUGUUUUGACUGCCACGUCACGGAAAUCUAGGCCCGUCCCCGCAGCGGAUCUCGAGAGAGUCAUUCUUCCGGCUCGUCUCAGGGCUGCUGUGGGGUUUCGGGUCCUCCAGCAUCCCGUAAGACCCCGGUGAACCGCCCGCCCCCCUCGUCCUCCCGCCCCUCAGAGUCGCUCCCAUCCAUCAGGGCUAUUUCCAGAUGGGAGCGUCGGAAAAUAAAUAUUUAACAGCGGCUGGGGCUCGGUGCCACCCUGUUGCCGCUGCGUGCGCGGCUGCCGCCUACAUGCUGAGGUGCAGGAAACGGGCACUGUGCCAGUCCUAGUGAGUCUCGGGUCCCCGAAGCCUCUCUUUCUCGGUCUCUGUCUCUCGUCUCUGCUUCACGGCGUCACGGCUGAGGAUGAAUCAGCCCUGAGAAUUGGCACGGUGAUUUACGAGCGCUGUCAGGGAGCCUGCAUGAUUCAGAGCGAGGAGUGGGCUCUGUCCAGAUAGUCGCUCCCUUUCGAGCUCAUUCAUAAAAAGGAAGGGAAUUUAGCAGUGCCAUCCUGAUUCUCAGGCAGUCUGUGCGUGCGUGUGCACGUGAGUCUUCGCGUGUAACUGUGGGUGUGCGUGUCUGUUUGUGCAUGUGCACAUCCCUGUGCACUCCGUGUAUUUGUAUGUGUGCGCAUGAAGUUGUGUAUGCAUGCAUUUGUGCAUGGGGUUGCGUUUGCAUGUGUUUGUGCAUGAGUUUGAGCUUGCAUGUGUUGUGCAUGGGAUUGUGCUUGCAUGUGUUUCUGGGUGAGCUCGUGCUUGCAUGUGUUUGUGCAUGGGGUUGUGCUUGCAUGUGUUUCUGCGUGAGCUCGUGCUUGCAUGUGUUUGUGAGUGUGGCUGUGUUUGCAUGUGGUGCUUGCAUGUGCUUGUGCAUGAGUAAAUGCCUGCCUGCAUAUCAAUGAGUGCUUUUGUAAGUAAAGGUGUGACUGUCUAAGUUUCUAACAUAUGCAGACAUGUGCUGAUAUGUGUGUUGCACUGUUUGAGGACAGUCCCUAUAGGCCCCGCCUUUCCUCCUCUCUGUAGUUUUGGCUCUGACAUGAACCAGCACAAGACAGACUACUCUUGUGACUUUACGAUGUACCGUAAUGAUUUACUAUACAUUGGUAAAAUGUAUGUUUUUCUCAUAUAUUUCCUAGGACUUUACAUCUUUACCACUUUGUUCAAAGGAUCAGAUUGUAUUAUAUAAUUUCCCCCUCCCCCAGUAAAUCAAUUGGACUGUUUUAUUGUAAAUUGUAUAUUGUGCUGUACACCAACAAUAUUUCUUUCUUUAUUGAAGAUAAAUCAGCUCCUCUUUCCUGCAGCUGAAGAAACUGAAUAGAUAAUAUAUCACAUUAAAAAUACACUUUCCUCCUGGCAAUUCUGAAAUCUCCCUUCAGAAGCCAAGGGGACAUAGGGUAUGGGGGAAUGGGUUGGUGUACGAAGGCACUGUUGCUUAAUAGUUGGGCAUGGCCACCAUACAUGGGUUCUCUUGCUGAAAAAAAUAUGUGAUUUUUUUAGAUGGCAGGGAAGUGCAUCGUCCACUUGCGUAAAUUAUACUCAAGAUUAUUACAUUAUUGUGGGCAAGACUAAAACUGUGGAAACAGGAAACGGGAGAAGGGCUAAUCCACUUUUAGAGACUCCAUGCUGUGCUUUGGUUCAUUAAUACAGCAGUGAAUCUGUUUGCCUCUUUUAAACGGCACAGUUACUUGCUUAUGCACCUAAACAGCUUUCCUGCGUCUACAGGAGGAGCUCUUCAUUUGUCUGGUUCUGGUUUAUGAACAGUUAAAAGCUUGACAGCCUCUCCCAUGGGGUUGGGGGAACACCAGGCAGUGGAGACAGCUGUAUGUGUUAAAUGAAAUGUAUGUGCUAACCUUAGUGUGCGUUGAAGCUGAGCACUGUUCUGAGAUGUGUCACUUUAAAGGUGCUGGUUUUGCAAUUUCAAUACAAAUAAAAAUGAAAAAGGAA